rnacentral:rRNA from 1 species
AUUGAACGCUGGCGGAAUGCUUUACACAUGCAAGUCGAACGGCAGCACGGGGGCAACCCUGGUGGCGAGUGGCGAACGGGUGAGUAAUACAUCGGAACGUGCCCGGUCGUGGGGGAUAACGUAGCGAAAGUUACGCUAAUACCGCAUACGAUCUGAGGAUGAAAGCGGGGGACCUUCGGGCCUCGCGCGAUCGGAGCGGCCGAUGUCAGAUUAGGUAGUUGGUGGGGUAAAGGCCUACCAAGCCGACGAUCUGUAGCUGGUCUGAGAGGACGACCAGCCACACUGGGACUGAGACACGGCCCAGACUCCUACGGGAGGCAGCAGUGGGGAAUUUUGGACAAUGGGCGCAAGCCUGAUCCAGCCAUUCCGCGUGCAGGACGAAGGCCUUCGGGUUGUAAACUGCUUUUGUAUGGACCGAAAAGGCUCUGGCUAAUACCUGGGGCUCAUGACGGUACCGGAAGAAUAAGCACCGGCUAACUACGUG